UCGACUACAGGUAUGGCCGGUAUCAUCCGCGGAAGGAAUAGGUGAGGCGGCGGCAUCUGUACCCCAGAUGACCCACUAUCCGAAGAAGUAGGAGCUGGAGUGGGCGCCCGGUGUAUCUCAGGCAUACGGGGUGCAGACACCUCCGUCUGAGGCUGAGCAAACAACUGCCUCGAGGAAUGAGGGAAGCCCCGCUGCCUCGAUGAAGGGGGCACCUCCGGCUGCCUCUGCGCCGUCUGCAGAAGGCUCGCAUGUCUAGCUGUCAUGAGGCCUUGAAACGACGUCUGAGGGUUGCUAGAUGUUCCCUCAGACGAUACGGACCUUUGGCCCUUCGAACCCUUCGUCGAUCUAAUAUUACCGCUCACCCUAUUUAAAAUAUUAAUUUGAAUCAAGGCCACAAAAUCAAAAAAUGCAAACUCAUUUUAAAAAUGUAAAAAAUAUAUACACUUCCUAAAUACUAAUUUUCACUUCCUAAAUUUUACACAUAUACACUUCCUAAAUAUACACUUCAUAAAUAAAAAUAUACACUUCCUAACAACACCACAACAUUGCAAUUGGCCGGAAAAUCAAAGCAAACACAAAAUACAAAACAAAUAUAUACAUUUCCUAAAUACUAAAUACAAAUAUACACUUAUUAAACAACAAUAUACACUUCCUAAAUACAAAUAUACACUUCCUAACAACACCACAACAUUGCAAUUAACCGGAAAAUAAAAGCAAACACAAAAUAAAACUAAAGCUCAAAAACGUACUCGAGGAGGAGGAGGGAGGACCGGAGCAGCAGCAGGAGGAGGCCGGGCGGAGAGGGAGAGGGAGCGGAGGCCGAGACCGGGAGAGGGAGAGGGAGAGGAGGCGGAGACCGGGAGAGUGAGAGGGAGAGGGCGGUGACCGGGAGAGGGAGAGAGAGAGGAGGCGGAGACCGGGAGAGUGAGAGGGAGAGGGUGGCGCCUGAACGACCGAGGGAGCGGAGGCGGAGGAGGGGAAAUUCGGAGAGGGAGAGGAAAAGGUGGCUAGGGUUUACAACCAGUCGAGCGCUGGGUUAUACCCGAACACUUUAGCCGACGAAAUAAUAAUUUCGUCGGCUAAAGGUAAUAAUUUCGUCGGCUAACCUAACACUUUAGCCGACGAAAUAAUUAUUUCGUCGGCUAAGAUAAAAUUCGUCGGCUAAACCUUUAAAAUUCGUCCGCUAAACCUAUGAAAUUCGUCGGCUAAACACAAAAUUCGUCGACUUUAUAACUUUUUAUACAUUCGUCAAACUGUGACUGCUGCUCGUGAUGAUCAAACUUUAGAACGAAAAUCCGACCGUCAGAUCUGACCUUCAUGAUAAAAUACAUGUAUGGGAAAUAAUUCAACUUGAUCCGACAAG
rnacentral:lncRNA from 1 species